AUCGAACGCUGGCGGCAGGCCUAACACAUGCAAGUCGAACGAGUGGCGGACGGGUGAGUAACGUAUGGGAAACUGCCUGAUGGAGGGGGAUAACUACUGGAAACCGUAGCUAAUACCGCAUACCAUCGGAUGUGCCCAGAUGGGAUUAGCUAGUAAGGGGGGUAAAGGCUCACCUAGGCGACGAUCCCUAGCUGGGCUGAUAGGAUGACCAGCCACACAGGGACUGAGAAACGGUCAAGACUCUUACGCAAGGAGGCAGUACUGAACAUUUCACAAUGGGCGCAAGCCUGAUACAGCCAUGCCGCGUGUAUGAAGAAGGCCUUCGGAUUGUAAAAUACUUUCAUAGGGGAGGCGUUACCCGCACAAAAAGCACCGGCUAACUCCGUGCCAGCAGCCGCGGUAAUUC
rnacentral:rRNA from 1 species